CCAGUCGCGGACGGGUGAGUAAUACAUAGGCAACCUGCCUUUAUGAGGGGGGAUAACCGAGGGAAACUUUGGCUAAUACCGCAUGAAGACUCUAAGGCAUCUUAGAGGGAUAAAAGUUGGGAAACAACGCAUGAAGAUGGGCUUAUGGCGCAUUAGCUAGUUGGUGAGAUAGAAGCCCACCAAGGUAAUGAUGCGUAGCCGACCUGAGAGGGUGAACGGCCACAUUGGGACUGAGACACGGCCCAAACUCCUACGGGAGGCAGCAGUAGGGAAUUUUCGGCAAUGGGGGGAACCCUGACCGAGCAACGCCGCGUGAAGGAAAAGAAGGUUUUCGGAUUGUAAACUUCUGUUAUAAGGGAAGAACGGAUUGGAUAGGGAAUGAUCUGAUAGUGACGGUAUCUUAUUAGAAAGCCACGGCUAACUACGUGCCAGCAGCCGC
rnacentral:rRNA from 1 species